AGCAUAUGCAUUUUGGAAACUGUGGAUAAAGGUAUGAUUUGUGUCCUAGAUGGGAUAGGGCAAGAUUUCAUCACACUACUCAGAUUGGUGUACUAUCUAAAAUUUAUGAAUUGCUUAUUUCCAAACUAUAGUUAGAUUUCCAAACUAUAGUUAACUGAAAUGACAUGAAGUUAAACUAGGAUAAGGGGACUACUAUACAAAGCAGCACACGCACAGCAUGAAAUACCAAAAGUCAUGCAAAGAAGAUACUUGGGAUCUGAAAGCCAAACAGAUGCCAGAGUUGGAGAUGCUUGAGAGUUCUGAUGAGCCACAAUGGAGAAAUCUUGCUGAACACUUGAAGUUGUGCCCCAAGGUAGACUCACUCUAGUGAGUCACCCUAGAAAAGAAGUAACUCAACUACCUGCAAAACAAAAUUCAAUAAUAUUCUUUAAAAGAAGACUACAAAAGCAACCUUAUCAAAGUGACAUUCAAAAUGAUCGACAUUAAAUAAAUACCAAACAUAAAAUACGAGUAACAUGGGACUCUUGUUGGAAGUCCCCAGAAUCACCCUGGAGUUAAAUUAUUAGAAAAUCUCACAGAAUUUAGAAAAGCUGCUAUACUCACACUUAAUGUUUAUUACCAUGAAAAUCAACAGAUUAAAAUCAGCAAAGGCCCAGGCAUUUAAAGGAGAGCUCAGGAAAAUCCAGCCAUAAGCCUGCAGUUGUCAAAAGCUUGAGCCAGAUGGACGACACUUAAUCAGAGCCACUGGAGCCUUUGGACAGCACUUAAUUCUCCCAGCUAUCAAGAGUCACAAAAAGCACAGAGUAUUUUAGUUUCCAGGUGAGCUGACUCAAACACUGCUGUCCAGGUUUUUGUUUGUUUGUUUGUUUGUUUGGCGUUGGAGCGGAGGUGGAGGUGGGAAGAGUAUUAGGGUUGGUUUGUAGGCAUGUAGCUUCUGAUACCUCACCUUAGUUAUUCAGCCUCAAACCAAUACAGUAUGACCUAAGGCACCACUAUAAAUCGCGAUGGUAGCAUAAACUUUCUGGGUUGCCCAACCCCACAAAUAAAUAAUGCCUUCUAAUGAGGCAGGAUUUUCCAAGGGCUUAGGAGUCAUCUUCCAGGACAUUAUCAAGAGCCAGACCUUUCCCUGGAUAUGUGCUGUUCAAGUAUCCAAGACCUACCGAGUAAACCCUUCAAUGCACAGUGACACAGGGGAAAUAUAGAUCAACAGAAGCACGCCCUGG
rnacentral:lncRNA from 1 species